CACGUAGGGCGCAAGCGUUGUCCGGAAUUAUUGGGUACGGUAAAGAGCUCGGUAUGGCGGUCUGUUGCGAUUCCGCUUGUGAAAACUCGGGCUUAACCCCGAGCCUGCAGUGGAUACGGGCAGACUAGAGGUAGGUAGGGGAGAAUGGAAUUCCGGUGUAGCGGUGAAAUGCGUAGAUAUCGGGAAGAACACCAGUGGCGAAGGCGUU
rnacentral:rRNA from 1 species